GCCACCACAAGUGCUUGUCAUUCCUGAUUUGCAACAUCACCUGUUGCUCCAACACCAGGCUUCUGUAGAGCAGAAAACUGGAGCAAAGAAGAGAAAUACGUGUUUGUCAUUGAACUGAGCUGAGAAGAAGGAAGAGGAGAAUGAUAAGAUCAUAGCCUGCAGCACUUUGUUUAUGAGAACAUCCUUCCAGUGAUAUAUGUCUGCACCAGGUGAAAGAGCUUUAGCCAUGGAUGUCACAUGGGAAUGAAGACAACUGUGACACUGCGGAGCUGUAUGUCUUUGAGGUGAGUUAAGGUCAGAGGCACUGCAUGACCCAUACAGGACAGCAUUAAUAACUCUUUACAAGAGAGAGGAAUGGGAGCUUCUCGUUGCCUGAAAAAACAUUCAAGGAGGUAGGAUUUCUUAAGCACUUAUUAAGGUCCUGUGUGGGCUUGUGUAACGUGUUCAGCGUCUCCCCCUCGGACUUCCUUUCUGUAAAAUGGAAAUACCUUUUUUCUCACAAGGUUAUUAGGAGGAUUUUCCAAUUAAGCUUCAUCAUAAAUGAAAGUGUCCUGCAAACAGUAUUUAAUCACCUGACUAAAAAUUGUCUCCAACUUCUUUGGGCAGAACAUUAGUUUUUAUAGGGACUAGUCACAGUGUCCAGCUUAACAUAAGGCUGUGGGAUCACAUGCUGCAUCUUUAAGACAGAGUUUACUUCUGAAUCAGUAAAUGUACUAGACAAAGCAGCCAUUAUUUAUGCAUUCCUGCAUACAUGGCAAGGUGAAAAUAAUAGAAUAAACAUCAUAUACUUCAUUAUGAUAUCGGUUUACACUUCCAGGGUACACAAAAAGAGGCCAUUUCAUCAAGCUAAUUGCCUGAAAGUAAAAGAGAGAGAACUUUAGCUAUUAGUCUAUUAUGGGGCUUUUUUCUUAAUCACAAAUAGGGGCCGUGUGUCCCCAGGGGGAUGUGUAUUCUAAUUUACAAUUGAACUACAGAUCAGAGCAAUCAAUCUUGUGCAGCACUUUUACAGUGUAAUUGCUGCAACAUAACAAAUAAAAAAAAAAAAAAAAGCAGCCUAAGUCGAGUUUCAGCUUGAG